rnacentral:rRNA from 1 species
AAUGAACGUUGGCGGCAUGGAUUAGGCAUGCAAGUCGAGCGAGAAGGGUUUUGAAGCUUGCUUUAGAACCCGGAAAGCGGCGCAAGGGAGAGUAACGAGUAGUUAUCUACCCCAAGGCCCGGAAUAGCUGCGGGAAACUGCAGGUAAUGCCGGAUAAUAUCCCCGGAUCAAAGGUGUGAUUCCGCCUUGGGAGGAGACUGCUUUGUACUAGCUAGUUGGUAGGGUAAUGGCCUACCAAGGCUACGAUGCAUAGCGGGCGUGAGAGCGUGGCCCGUCUCACUGGGACUGAAACACGGCCCAGACACCUACGGGUGGCUGCAGUCGAGAAUCUUCGGCAAUGGGCGAAAGCCUGACCGAGCGAUGCCGCGUGCGGGAUGAAGGCCCUCGGGUUGUAAACCGCUGUCGUAGAGCAGAAAGGUCUGAUGAAGAAUCAGAUUUGAUCUAUUCUAGGAGGAAGUCGGGGCUAAGUUCGUGCCAGCCGCCGCCGUAACAC